UACGGGGGGAGCAAGCGUUGUUCGGAUUUACUGGGCGUAAAGGGCGCGUAGGCGGCCACCGCAAGUCGAUUGUGAAAUCUCCGGGCUUAACCCGGAAAGGUCAACCGAUACUGCGGGGCUAGAGUGCAGAAGGGGCAACUGGAAUUCUCGGUGUAGCGGUGAAAUGCGUAGAUAUCGAGAGGAACAUCAGUGGCGAAGGCGACUUCCUGGACCAAUACUGACGCUCAGGUGCGAAAGCGUGGGGAGCAAACAGG
rnacentral:rRNA from 1 species